rnacentral:rRNA from 1 species
GACGAACGCUGGCGGCGUGCUUAACACAUGCAAGUCGAACGGAAAGGCCCUGCUUUUGUGGGGUGCUCGAGUGGCGAACGGGUGAAUAACACGUGAGUAACCUGCCCUUGACUUUGGGAUAACUUCAGGAAACUGGGGCUAAUACCGGAUAGGAGCUCCUGCUGCAUGGUGGGGGUUGGAAAGUUUCGGCGGUUGGGGAUGGACUCGCGGCUUAUCAGCUUGUUGGUGGGGUAGUGGCUUACCAAGGCUUUGACGGGUAGCCGGCCUGAGAGGGUGACCGGCCAAAUUGGGACUGAGAUACGGCCCAGACUCCUACGGGAGGCAGCAGUGGGGAAUAUUGCACAAUGGGCGGAAGCCUGAUGCAGCAACGCCGCGUGCGGGAUGACGGCCUUCGGGUUGUAAACCGCUUUCGCCUGUGACGAAGCGUGAGUGACGGUAAUGGGUAAAGAAGCACCGGCUAACUACGU